rnacentral:RNase_P_RNA from 1 species
UUGUGGAAAUGGAUGGUCGCUGCUUUUCAUCUGAAAAGUAGAGGAAAGUCCGGACUCCAUGGAGGGAAAGUGCCGGAUAACGUCCGGCGGCGCGUUAAAUAGCGUCAGGGAAAGCGCAACAGAAAAUAUACAGCCAUUUAUUAUGGCAAUGGUGAAAUGGUGAGGUAAAGGCUCACCGCAUGAUCGGUAACGAUGAUGGCUUGGCAAACCCCACUUGGAGCAAGAUCAAAUAAGGGUAACGCGUCCUCCACGCAAUGUUGUCCGGGUAGAUCGCUAGACGCUUGUGGUAACACACGCGCGAGAUGAAUGGCCAUCAGAACUUUACGUUUUACAGAAUCCGGCUUAUAAUUUCCACAAAAAC